GGAUAUAGCUCAGUAGGUAGAGUGCUUGCCUUGCAUGCACAAGGCCCUGGGUUCGAUCCCCAGCACCA
rnacentral:tRNA from 1 species